AGUGAACGCUGGCGGCAGGCCUAACACAUGCAAGUCGAACGGCAGCACAGUAAGAGCUUGCUCUUACGGGUGGCGAGUGGCGGACGGGUGAGGAAUACAUCGGAAUCUACUUUUUCGUGGGGGAUAACGUAGGGAAACUUACGCUAAUACCGCAUACGACCUACGGGUGAAAGCAGGGGAUCUUCGGACCUUGCGCGAUUGAAUGAGCCGAUGUCGGAUUAGCUAGUUGGCGGGGUAAAGGCCCACCAAGGCGACGAUCCGUAGCUGGUCUGAGAGGAUGAUCAGCCACACUGGAACUGAGACACGGUCCAGACUCCUACGGGAGGCAGCAGUGGGGAAUAUUGGACAAAGGGCGCAAGCCUGAUCCAGCCAUACCGCGUGGGUGAAGAAGGCCUUCGGGUUGUAAAGCCCUUUUGUUGGGAAAGAAAAGCAGCAGGUUAAUACCCCGCUGUUCUGACGGUACCCAAAGAAUAAGCACCGGCUAACUUCGUG
rnacentral:rRNA from 1 species